GUGUCAGGGAAUAAUGUGGAGACCUACAUCGAUGAGCUGAGAUAUACUUUGUAGUUUAUGCCCGAAGUGACUGAACAGGAAAAGGCUAUGUUAGUUAGGAAAACUACCAGCCGAGCGGUCCAGGAGUGGAUGUCUAGACAAGGACAGGAGGUCUGAAAGAGCUUUUGAGGAGCUGUGUCAGGCAAUGAUCUGAGGAUUUUCGGCUUUUAUCGAUCCCAUAUCUGCCGUGGCCGCUGCGCACCAUAUUAAGCAUGAAAAAGCUGAAGCCCCUCGCGACUAUUAUGAGGAAUGAAGAGGGUUGCGAAGAGAACAUGAAUUUAAAAGGUUUAGAGAGAUCAGGACAGGGUAAACCUUCCGUACCGACUGCCGGAAGCGUGAAUGAGCUGAGGGGGACCACACCCCUCCUCACAGGAGGAGGCGAGGAUCUGCCCCAAGCCCCUCCCUCAGUCUAUCUGAUUGGGUGGGAGGGUUCCUGCCUGGAAGAAGGCUGUGACUCUGAGUUGGGCGCUGACCCCGCCCCUGAAGUCAAAGAAAAGGCAGGCUUCAAACAAUUCUUAGGGAAUAUCAGCCAGAAAGGCAAAGCAAGGCGUAUUUAUAUCAAGGUUUCUCUUGAAAACGUCUUAGAUAGAGAAGCACUGAUUGACACUGGGGCUGAAAUUAGUUUGAUGUCAGCAGAUCUACUCAGCGAGCUCAAACGACUAGCGAAAGGAAAAGGCAUCAGACUUAAGGUAGAACCGUGUGAGAUAGAUAUUUCCAGCUAUACCCAGGAUCAUGCCAGGAUCACACACCGAGUGUGGGUGUCACUUAGGUUCGGGCCAAUGAACGUAGUGCAUCAUGUUUACAUCGCUAGGUUUAAAACAGAGCCACUACUCAUUGGCCAAGACCUGCUUAAGAGGCUGGAGCCUCUGGUGGACUGCCAGCGUGGGCUCAUGUCAAAAACCCUAAGCCUGUCUUACAGUGAAAAGGGGGGUUGAGUGGUUAUGCUGUGCUCACACAGUGCCCACUGAACAGUAUAGCUGAGUUGGAGGUUCCUCCUGGUUCCUCUGGACAAUAAAUAAAUGUCUCUUCUUGCUUUCCAAAACUACAGGGAAGUCCUGCCCAGGCCAGCACUCCCACGGUCUCCCAACUACAGAAGCAGUGCUCCGAGCAGCUGCUUGACCCAACCAGGUAAAGCACACCCCUUUUUCAUCCCUGAAGAAGAGUGGAUCUC
rnacentral:lncRNA from 1 species